rnacentral:lncRNA from 1 species
AAUGCAUGCACCGCUCGUUUGGUGGACUUCAGACGCACUGUUCCUUGUGUUCUCUGAUAAAAAAGGAUGAAGAAGAAAUUACAUCGUAUGCUCCCUACUGUACCACUGCAGCACCUCCCUUCGUCGUAUGCUUCCUACUGUACCAUACUGCACUACUUUUUUUCCCUCUUCUUCCAAAUAAAUAAAUAAACAUGAUUACACACUCUCACCGCUUUCGGUUUAACAGAAUCUCCCAGGUCUCAAACCCACCAUUACAUAAUACUAACAAUCACAACCAACGCAGCAUAUAUGUAUCCAGUGUUGACUGAUUUCCUAGUCUGCGGAAUGCUGCUCAUCUUUUUUCUUGAUUGAUUAGCCACCUAAUUAUUAAGACAAACAACGCAUGAGUGCUGCUCACUCAGCCAGCAUAUACAAUGAAGCCGGGUAGGGUCAGCCAUAGCUAAUAAUUUGAGGACAAAAGAAGCGCCAACUUGAGCCGACAACAACAUCUAGGGGGCUUGAACGCCACCCCAAGUGCCACACUGCCCCUACACCAUUAUUCAAACACCCCAUAUGCUCUUGCUCUUGCUCUUUGAUGCAUGAUGCAGCUUUCAGUAGUCCUGCCUGUCAUGCCAAGAUACAUAAACAUGGGGCCUAUCAUUGCGUCCAUGCAUACUUACCAGUUCCCUCCAUCUGCACUGCACAAUCGAAACAAAGGGCCAAAAGGUUAAUGACGAAGCAAACCAUGUACUUGCAUGGGAACCAGAAUUAAAUUCAGCUAAGCUUUCAUUGUAAGUAUUUGUGACUGCAACCUUUACAAAAUCGUGGAAACUACUCCUUUUUAGGUGCGAAUAAAAGACGCAGUUCAUUAUUAAAUUCUCUAAUCCUUAUUCUUAUACAUACACCAAUCUGCUUAACCAUGUGUUCUCAUGGUCAUCAGCUUACCUUGUGUACCCCCCCACACAAAAAAACAUGUUAAUUUGUGUCUCGAAAACAUUUUUCGUUGUUGUCGUGAAAAAAAAGAAAGAUCCGUCGUUGUUCACCCUGAGAUUAAAACAGUCACCCGAUGCCCUGUCAGAUGCCACCAGUUUUAUCCACAUUUUUCUCUCCAAGCAUAGCAUGUAUCCCAAAACUUUAUCAACAUAAUACUAGUGGUGAAGAAAAUGUCAUGUGUUGAUAAGAAAGGCACAAUUUAUAAUGAUAGAACGCACAAAGCAAACUCAAC